ACACUCCUACGGGAGGCAGCAGUGAGGAAUAUUGGACAAUGGGUGGAAGCCUGAUCCAGCCAUCCCGCGUGCAGGAAGACGGCCCUAUGGGUUGUAAACUGCUUUUAUCUGGGGAUAAACCUACUUACGUGUAAGUAGCUGAAGGUACCAGAAGAAUAAGCACCGGCGAACUCCGUGCCAGCAGCCGCGGUAAUACGGAGGGUGCAAGCGUUAUCCGGAUUUAUUGGGUUUAAAGGGUCCGUAGGCGGACUGAUAAGUCAGUGGUGAAAUCCGACAGCUUAACUGUCGAACUGCCAUUGAUACUGUUAGUCUUGAGUAAGGUUGAAGUGGCUGGAAUAAGUAGUGUAACGGUGAAAUGCAUAGAUAUUACUUAGAACACCAAUUGCGAAGGCAGGUCACUAAGUCUUAACUGACGCUGAUGGACGAAAGCGUGGGGAGCGAACAGGAUUAGAAACCCGUGUAGUCCC
rnacentral:rRNA from 1 species